AGUUUGAUCCUGGCUCAGGACGACGCUGGCGGCGUGCUUAACACAUGCAAGUCGAACGGUAAGGCCCUUCGGGGUACACGAGUGGCGAACGGGUGAGUAACACGUGGGUGAUCUGCCCUGCACUUCGGGAUAAGCCUGGGAAACUGGGUCUAAUACCGGAUAGGACUCCUGGCUUCAUGGUUGGGGGUGUAAAGCUUUUGCGGUGUGGGAUGGGCCCGCGGCCUAUCAGCUUGUUGGUGGGGUAAUGGCCUACCAAGGCGACGACGGGUAGCCGGCCUGAGAGGGUGACCGGCCACACUGGGACUGAGAUACGGCCCAGACUCCUACGGGAGGCAGCAGUGGGGAAUAUUGCACAAUGGGCGCAAGCCUGAUGCAGCGACGCCGCGUGAGGGAUGACGGCCUUCGGGUUGUAAACCUCUUUCAAUAGGGACGAAGCGCAAGUGACGGUACCUAUAGAAGAAGGACCGGCCAACUACGUG
rnacentral:rRNA from 1 species